UGCAAGUCGUACGCGAAAGGGGAGCAAUCCCUGAGUAGAGUGGCAAACGAGUGAGUAACACGUGGGUGACCUGCCUCAGAGUGGGGGAUAACGUCCCGAAAGGGACGCUAAUACCGCAUAACAUCCUGCCUUUGGAAAGGCGGAGAUCAAAGCCGGGGAUCGCAAGACCUGGCGCUUGGAGAGGGGCCCGCGUCUGAUUAGCUAGUUGGUAGGGUAAUGGCCUACCAAGGCAACGAUCAGUAUCCGGCCUGAGAGGGCGGACGGACACACUGGGACUGAGACACGGCCCAGACUCCUACGGGAGGCAGCAGUGGGGAAUUGUUCGCAAUGGGCGCAAGCCUGACGACGCAACGCCGCGUGGAGGAUGAAGAUCUUCGGGUCGUAAACUCCUGUCGAGCGGGAAGAACACUUUCCGGGCGAAUAUCCUGGAAGGCUGACGGUACCGCUAAAGGAAGCCCCGGCUAACUCCGUGCCAGCAGCCGCGGUAAUACGGGGGGGGCAAGCGUUGUUCGGAAUUACUGGGCGUAUAGGGCUCGUAGGCGGCCAACUAAGUCAGACGUGAAAUCCCCAGGCUCAACCUGGGAACUGCGUCUGAUACUGGAUGGCUUGAAUCCGGGAGAGGGAUGCAGAAUUCCAGGUGUAGCGGUGAAAUGCGUAGAUAUCUGGAGGAAUACCGGUGGCGAAGGCGGCAUCCUGGACCGCUAUUGACGCUGAGGAGCGAAAGCCAGGGGAGCUAACGGGAUUAGAUACCCCGGUAGUCCUGGCC
rnacentral:rRNA from 1 species